ACAAACGAGUUGUUUUAUUGCGUCUAUGACUUGAAUCUUAUCAUCAGUUGUAGUGAUGGGAAGUUCGGAUCAUUUUACCGAAUCGGACUUUUGAGUCUCGUUCAGCAAAAUGAACGAAUCUUUUUUCGAGUCAUUUCAAAUGAACGAACAACCAGAAGGUUCAGGUAGAAAAAAAUAAAGUGCUUGCAGUCUGUUUCACAUUAGGAGGCAUUUUGCUGCAUAAUCGAUCCACCACAAACCAUAUGCAACUAUGGAAGCUCAACUUCCAUUAAAUGGACUGAAAACGCUCAAGUAACGUUAUAGGUCUCAAAACGCUUGCUCUGCGCCAGUGGAUACACACCAUAGACAGUAAAAGAAAUAUGUGCAUGUCACAGACUGUCUGGGCAUGCACUUCCGCGUUUCAGAGAUCCGCCUUUUACUUUCCGUCAACAUUACAUUAAUUAACGUUUAGAAAAUUUAUUUUUGACAUUUGUGAAUCAGUUCAGAAUCGUCUGCUUAUGCAUUGUGAUACAUUUAAGAAUCACAUUUUUAUCCCACCCCUACUAAAUAUAGAGACACUUUGACAAGUGGGCACUGGAUGCUGAGUAUUGAAGGCGAGGUGGUGUGUGAGGGCACUCAGCCCAGUUUCCUGUCCGGCCUUGCCACUCUGUUUGCUGCUUAUUACUAGUUUAAUCUUGAGUAUCAGGAGGAAGCAGCGUGUACCUUGGAGUUCAUUCAAAGGUGCUUUGUGGGCAUAAAUCCAGAGAGAGGACCCAAAGCCAAGGGAAAAGUGCCAUCGAAAUAAAAACAGGACAAGUGAUACAGAAGAAAAUGUGUGGCAGUCAACCCACAUGUUGCCACUCUUCUGUGCAAAUUCCAAUGGAAUUUCUGAAAUUCACACUUUGAAUCCUGGGAUGGAACUUCAUCUGGAGCAUAAUUGUUAUUUGGUUGAUUUUUAUCUGUUUGAUGGAAAGUUUGUAUGACUUCUGCAAGUCCGCGGCUCCUUCCGGUCAGUCAUGCAUCACUUUUUUUUGUAUGACUUGUUUGGCAAUAUUGGUCUAUUCCUUAAUGAUGAUAGCUAUCUGAAAAUGUCUUUGUGGUUUUUAAAGGAUUAGUUCACCCAAAAAUGAAAAUUAAGUCAAUAAUUACUUAUGUCGUUUCACACCCGUAAGAUCUUCGUUCAUCCUCACAACACAUAAUAAGAUGUGGCUCAGUGAAGCGUGCAUUUCUAGCAAGAUCAUUUCUUUUUUUCAAUGCCCAGAAAGCCUCUAAAACAUUUAAAACAAUUCAUGUGACUACAGUUGUUCAACCUAAAUAUUAUAAAGCGACGAGAAUACUUUUUUUGCCACCCCCAUCUCCCAAAACAACGAUUUUAUUCAACUAUAUCUAGUGAUGGGCGAUCUCAAAACACUGCUUCAUGAAGCUUAGAAGCUUUACGAAUCUUUUGUUUCAAAUCAUUUGCUCAGAACGUGUAUCAAACUGCAAAAGUCACACGAACCAUUGAAAUUUCAAAACACUUAUGACGUAACGAAGCCUCAUUUACUGAAAUCAUGUGACUUUGGCAGUUUGAUAUGCUCUGAUUUGAACUGAAAGAUUAAUAAAGCUUUGAAGCUUCAUGAAGCAGUGUCAUCCAUCACGAGAUACUGUUGAAUAGUCAUUAUUUAGUUUUUUGGCACACAAAAAGUAUUUUCAUUGCUUCAUUACACUAAGGUUGAACCACUGUAGUCACAUAAACGGUUUUAAAUAUGUUUUUAGUACCUUUCUGGGCAUUGGAAAGG